UACGUAGGGGGCGAGCGUUGUCCGGAAUUAUUGGGCGUAAAGGGCUCGUAGGCGGUCCGUCACGUCGGGAGUGAAAACUCGGGGCUCAACCCCGAGCCUGCUUUCGAUACGGGCGGACUAGAGGUAGGUAGGGGAGAACGGAAUUCCUGGUGUAGCGGUGGAAUGCGCAGAUAUCAGGAGGAACACCGGUGGCGAAGGCGGUUCUCUGGGCCUUACCUGACGCUGAGGAGCGAAAGCGUGGGGAGCGAACAGG
rnacentral:rRNA from 1 species